CCCAGAUCCACCUGAGGCCUGAUGCAAAUGCAUGGAGGGGAAUAUUUUCACAGGUGAAUCACUAAGAGAAGAUGAAGAGGUGAAGAUCUCCAUUUACAAAGCGUGUCCAAGCAGAAGUUGUCCAGCUGGAGCAGGAUGGACUCUGGGACCCAUCCUGGCUCCCACUGCUCACCCCCACCUCAGCCUCAGCCAAGUUUGAGGGCCACAGAGGGAACAGGAGGACCAGCUUUCUCACCUCCUACUGAGAUCUGGUUCUGGGGAAACCAGUUUGAGAUGCUGCAGGGGACGGGGGCCGGAUACCGCAAACAUUUCCAGGGACAGGACUGGAUACCGGAAGUGUUUCUGGUGAGCGGGGCUGGCAACCGAGUGGGCUGAGCUGGUUCUGAGCCCAUCUGCGUAGGAGGUGUGGACACUGAGGGCUGCUUCCCGUUGUGACACUCAGUCUUGAGGGUCAAGGGAGGAAGCUUCUCUGGAAAGCUGGACAAUGGCAGUGAGUGGGUGCCUGGAGGACACUGGAGGUAACGAUAAACAACAAAGCAACUUUCCUUCCUCUUCUGUGGAUGACCUAGUCAGAAGGUGGCUGUGAUGAGUGCUUGCUCCCCUGGUUGGGUGGUGAGCUUUGCGGGGAAAUCGCAGCAUCACUUGGGACCACAUGGAGCUAAAUGAGAUGCCGUGAGCUGCCCAGCUCCUCCCUCCUUGGCUCAAGCCCCAGCGCUGCUUCUAGGAAGAAACAGGACCUGCAGGGCGGUGAGAGAUACAGAUCUGAUGUGUGGAACCUGAAGGGUUUUGAUGGAUGUGUCCAUCCACGUAGUCACCGGCCAGAUGGCGAUAGAAUCGGUCUCCAGGACUCCCGAAGGUUCCCUUGGGCCCCUUUCCAGCUCACACCCCGCAGGGGCAGCCUUCAUCCUGAUUUCUAUCACUCCAGAUAAGUUUCUUCCUGGACUUCACGUAAUGGAAUCAUGCAGAUAAACUCUUUUAAGUCUGACUUCUUUUGCUCAAUAUGUUGUUUUUGAGAUCCACCCAGGUUGCUACACGUCUCUACAGCUGGUUCCUUUUCAUGAAUGAGCAGUACUCCAUUGCAUGAAAAUGCAGUCAGCCCUCCAAAGAACUGCGGGUUAAAAAUAUUUGAAAAUCAUCCCUGUAUAGACUUUUCUUCUUCUCUGCUUUUUCUCUAAACAACACAAUGUUAAGAGUGACUUACAUCACAUCUACAUUGUGUCUGGUUUUGUAACCUAGAGACCUCUAAAGUAUCUUAGGGGAGAUGCAUAGGAGGCAGGUGAAUACCAUGCUACUUUAUAUACGGGACUCAAGCCAUCUGCAGUUUGGGGGAAUGGGAGAGUCCUGGAGCCAGUGUCCCACGAUUCUGAAGAACAAUCUGGCACGCAGCGGUUGUCUGUUCCUUUACUGAUGGACAGAUGCAUUGCUUCCGGUUUGGAGCUGUUAUGAAUAAAGAUG